UGCGGGGUAGAGCAGCCUGGUAGCUCGUCGGGCUCAUAACCCGGAGGUCGUAGGUUCAAAUCCUACCCCCGCUA
rnacentral:tRNA from 3 species